GACGAACGCUGGCGGCGUGCUUAACACAUGCAAGUCGAACGGAAAGGCCCUGCUUUUGUGGGGUGCUCGAGUGGCGAACGGGUGAGUAACACGUGAGUAACCUGCCCUUGACUUUGGGAUAACUUCAGGAAACUGGGGCUAAUACCGGAUAGGAGCUCCUGCUGCAUGGUGGGGGUUGGAAAGUUUCGGCGGUUGGGGAUGGACUCGCGGCUUAUCAGCUUGUUGGUGGGGUAGUGGCUUACCAAGGCUUUGACGGGUAGCCGGCCUGAGAGGGUGACCGGCCACAUUGGGACUGAGAUACGGCCCAGACUCCUACGGGAGGCAGCAGUGGGGAAUAUUGCACAAUGGGCGGAAGCCUGAUGCAGCAACGCCGCGUGCGGGAUGACGGCCUUCGGGUUGUAAACCGCUUUCGCCUGUGACGAAGCGUGAGUGACGGUAAUGGGUAAAGAAGCACCGGCUAACUACGUGCCAGCAGCCGCGGUGAUACGUAGGGUGCGAGCGUUGUCCGGAUUUAUUGGGCGUAAAGGGCUCGUAGGUGGUUGAUCGCGUCGGAAGUGUAAUCUUGGGGCUUAACCCUGAGCGUGCUUUCGAUACGGGUUGACUUGAGGAAGGUAGGGGAGAAUGGAAUUCCUGGUGGAGCGGUGGAAUGCGCAGAUAUCAGGAGGAACACCAGUGGCGAAGGCGGUUCUCUGGGCCUUUCCUGACGCUGAGGAGCGAAAGCGUGGGGAGCGAACAGGCUUAGAUACCCUGGUAGUCCACGCUGUAAACGGUGGGUACUAGGUGUGGGGUCCAUUCCACGGGUUCCGUGCCGUAGCUAACGCUUUAAGUACCCCGCCUGGGGAGUACGGCCGCAAGGCUAAAACUCAAAGGAAUUGACGGGGCCCCGCACAAGCGGCGGAGCAUGCGGAUUAAUUCGAUGCAACGCGUAGAACCUUACCUGGGUUUGACAUGGAUCGGGAGUGCUCAGAGAUGGGUGUGCCUCUUUUGGGGUCGGUUCACAGGUGGUGCAUGGCUGUCGUCAGCUCGUGUCGUGAGAUGUUGGGUUAAGUCCCGCAACGAGCGCAACCCUUGUUCACUGUUGCCAGCACGUUAUGGUGGGGACUCAGUGGAGACGGCCGGGGUCAACUCGGAGGAAGGUGGGGAUGACGUCAAGUCAUCAUGCCCCUUAUGUCCAGGGCUUCACGCAUGCUACAAUGGCUGGUACAGAGAGUGGCGAGCCUGUGAGGGUGAGCGAAUCUCGGAAAGCCGGUCUCAGUUCGGAUUGGGGUCUGCAACUCGACCUCAUGAAGUCGGAGUCGCUAGUAAUCGCAGAUCAGCAACGCUGCGGUGAAUACGUUCCCGGG
rnacentral:rRNA from 1 species